rnacentral:rRNA from 1 species
CGUAGGGUGCAAGCGUUAAUCGGAAUUACUGGGCGUAAAGCGUGCGCAGGCGGUUAUGUAAGACAGAGGUGAAAUCCCCGGGCUCAACCUGGGAACUGCCUUUGUGACUGCAUAGCUAGAGUACGGCAGAGGGGGAUGGAAUUCCGCGUGUAGCAGUGAAAUGCGUAGAUAUGCGGAGGAACACCGAUGGCGAAGGCAAUCCCCUGGGCCUGUACUGACGCUCAUGCACGAAAGCGUGGGGAGCAAACAGGAUUAGAUACCCUGGUAGUCCACGCCCUAAACGAUGUCAACUGGUUGUUGGGUCUUCACUGACUCAGUAACGAAGCUAACGCGUGAAGUUGACUGCCUGGGGAGUACGGCCGCAAGGUUG